rnacentral:rRNA from 1 species
GACGUAGGAUGCAAGCGUUGUCCGGAAUUAUUGGGCGUAAAGAGCUCGUAGGCGGUUUGUCGCGUCUGCUGUGAAAACCCGAGGCUCAACCUCGGGCCUGCAGUGGGUACGGGCAGACUAGAGUGCGGUAGGGGAGAUUGGAAUUCCUGGUGUAGCGGUGGAAUGCGCAGAUAUCAGGAGGAACACCGAUGGCGAAGGCAGAUCUCUGGGCCGUAACUGACGCUGAGGAGCGAAAGCAUGGGGAGCGAACAGG